GCGGCAGUAACUCAGUGGUAGAGUGCUGGCUUCCCAAGCCGGAUGUCGCGGGUCCGAAUCCCGUCUUCCGCU
rnacentral:tRNA from 1 species